AGUGAACGCUGGCGGUAGGCCUAACACAUGCGAGUCGAACGGCAGCACAGUAAGAGCUUGCUCUUACGGGUGGCGAGUGGCGGACGGGUGAGGAAUACAUCGGAAUCUACUUUUUUGUGGGGGAUAACGUAGGGAAACUUACGCUAAUACCGCAUACGACCUACGGGUGAAAGCAGGGGAUCUUCGGACCUUGCGCGAUUGAAUGAGCCGAUGUCGGAUUAGCUAGUUGGCGGGGUAAAGGCCCACCAAGGCGACGAUCCGUAGCUGGUCUGAGAGGAUGAUCAGCCACACUGGAACUGAGACACGGUCCAGACUCCUACGGGAGGCAGCAGUGGGGAAUAUUGGACAAUGGGCGCAAGCCUGAUCCAGCCAUACCGCGUGGGUGAAGAAGGCCUUCGGGUUGUAAAGCCCUUUUGUUGGGAAAGAAAAGCAGCAGGUUAAUACCCCGCUGUUCUGACGGUACCCAAAGAAUAAGCACCGGCUAACUUCGUG
rnacentral:rRNA from 1 species